GACGUAGGGCGCGAGCGUUGUCCGGAUUUAUUGGGCGUAAAGAGCUCGUAGGCGGCUUGUCGCGUCGACUGUGAAAUCCCGCGGCUCAACUGCGGGUCUGCAGUCGAUACGGGCAGGCUAGAGUUCGGUAGGGGAGACUGGAAUUCCAGGUGUAGCGGUGAAAUGCGUAGAUAUCUGGAGGAACACCGGUGGCGAAGGCGGCAUCCUGGACCGGCAUUGACGCUGAUGAGCGAAAGCCAGGGGAGCAAACGGG
rnacentral:rRNA from 1 species